UACGAAGGGGGCUAGCGUUGCUCGGAAUCACUGGGCGUAAAGCGCACGUAGGCGGCUUGUUAAGUCAGGGGUGAAAUCCUGGAGCUCAACUCCAGAACUGCCUUUGAUACUGGCAAGCUUGGAGUCCGGGAGAGGUGAGUGGAACUGCGAGUGUAGAGGUGAAAUUCGUAGAUAUUCGGAAGAACACCAGUGGCGAAGGCGACUUACUGGACACAUAUUGACGCUGAGGUGCGAAAGCGUGGGGAGCAAACAGG
rnacentral:rRNA from 1 species